UGGAUUCAGCGGCGGACGGGUGAGUAAUGCCUAGGAAUCUGCCUGAUAGUGGGGGACAACGUUUCGAAAGGAACGCUAAUACCGCAUACGUUCUACGGGAGAAAGCAGGGGACCUUCGGGCCUUGCNCNAUCAGAUGAGCCUAGGUCGGAUUAGCUAGUUGGUGAGGUAAUGGCUCACCAAGGCGACGAUCCGUAACUGGUCUGAGAGGAUGAUCAGUCACACUGGAACUGAGACACGGUCCAGACUCCUACGGGAGGCAGCAGUGGGGAAUAUUGGACAAUGGGCGAAAGCCUGAUCCAGCCAUGCCGCGUGUGUGAAGAAGGUCUUCGGAUUGUAAAGCACUUUAAGUUGGGAGGAAGGGUUGUAGAUUAAUACUCUGCAAUUUUGACGUUACCGACAGAAUAAGCACCGGCUAACUCUGUGCCAGCAGCCGCGGUAAUACAGAGGGUGCAAGCGUUAAUCGGAAUUACUGGGCGUAAAGCGCGCGUAGGUGGUUUGUUAAGUUGGAUGUGAAAUCCCCGGGCUCAACCUGGGAACUGCAUCCAAAACUGGCAAGCUAGAGUAUGGUAGAGGGUGGUGGAAUUUCCUGUGUAGCGGUGAAAUGCGUAGAUAUAGGAAGGAACACCAGUGGCGAAGGCGACACCUGGACUGAUACUGACACUGAGGUGCGAAAGCGUGGGGAGCAAACAGGAUUAGAUACCCUGGUAGUCCACGCCGUANACGAUGUCAACUAGCCGUUGGGAGCCUUGAGCUCUUAGUGGCGCAGCUAACGCAUUAAGUUGACCGCC
rnacentral:rRNA from 1 species